rnacentral:rRNA from 1 species
UACGUAGGAUGCAAGCGUUGUCCGGAAUUAUUGGGCGUAAAGAGCGCGCAGGCGGUAUGACAAGUCAGAUGUGAAAGAGGCCGGCUUAACCGAGAAAGGUCGUCGGAUACUGCAUGACUAGAGGACGGUAGAGGCGUGUGGAAUUCCGGGUGUAGUGGUGAAAUGCGUAGAGAUCCGGAGGAACACCAGUGGCGAAGGCGACACGCCGGGCCGUACCUGACGCUGAGCCGCGACAGCAUGGGGAGCAAACAGG